rnacentral:rRNA from 3 species
CUUUUAAUGAGAGUUUGAUCCUGGCUCAGGACGAACGCUGGCGGCGUGCCUAAUACAUGCAAGUAGAAC